CACGUAGUUAGCCGGUCCUUAUUCCCCACCUACCGUCAACCCCGAGAAAACCCGGGGCCUGCGUGAGUGGUAAAAGAGGUUUACAACCCGAAGGCCGUCAUCCCCCACGCGGCGUCGCUGCGUCAGGCUUCCGCCCAUUGCGCAAGAUUCCCCACUGCUGCCUCCCGCAGGAGUCUGGGCCGUGUCUCAGUCCCAGUGUGGCCGGUCGCCCUCUCAGGCCGGCUACCCGUAAUCGCCUUGGUAGGCCGUUACCCCACCAACAAGCUGAUAGGCCGCGAGCCCAUCCCCGACCGAAAAACUUUCCACCCGCCGCCAUGAGGCGGAAGGUCGUAUCCGGUAUUAGACGGCGUUUCCACCGCUUAUCCCGGAGUCAGGGGCAGGUUGCUCACGUGUUACUCACCCGUUCGCCGCUCGUGUACCCCCGAAGGGGCCUUACCGCUCGACUUGCAUGUGUUAAGCACGCCGCCAGCGUCGUCCUCGAGCCACGGAGUCAACUAC
rnacentral:rRNA from 1 species